ACUACACACCCAAGAGUUACCAUGCAUGAUCCGUGAAUGAUGGGUAUCAGGCCUGGACCAGGUUUGAUUCUAUAACGGUCCAGCAUCGACCGCCAUCACUGCUGAAUCGAGGCUGUUGCACUGGCCUGGACCAGUAUCUAUUUCAGUCCCGAUGUAGUCAUAGCUGAUACAGUAAUGUCUGUUCGUCAGCACUGGUCCAGGCUGUAUAUCAGUACUGGAUCAGAUCGAUGCUUUUCAAGAUGGCAGCCCCGCGUGGACUAUCUGACAUGUUUUGUUAAAGAAAAUCAUCUUAAUCUGACUCUUUAAGAGGAAUCUUGUUGGCUGUAUACACUAGGGCUAAAUCACUGGAUGUUAUGCUAUUUUGAACCAUUUAUUACUUAAACAUGAGUAGGAUACACGAUAUUUUGAGUAAAAAAUACAUGACUGGAAAAUAAAACGACUGACACCUUCCAAUUAAAGUUUACCACAUCUUGCCUACAAAAUCUCUAUGAUACGAAAAUAGAGACCUGGGUUUAUGAGGAAUUACCAAAGGGGUAUAAACUGCAUGAACAAACUUAUAAUAAAUUUAGGCUAAUUAUUAUUGUGAGAUUAAUGACUUCAGUUUAAUUGACUAUAAUUAGAAGUACAUACCUUUCAUUAUGGAUUCUCCGUUAACUUUCUAGUAUUGAGCCAAGCAUUGAAACAGAGCCAGAAGACCUUUCUGCAAUAAUCAUGACACUAGUGAAGACAAUGAGGAAUCAGGCGUAAAAAUGGUUCACUACAUGUGAUUGUAACUAUGUUUUUAAUUAGGGUGAAUGUAUUAGUGAUCAUGAUGAUGAAGAUAUUGUACUGAGAGACUUAUGAAUGAUAGUCACAAGUGUGAAUUUUUGAUGCGGAAGAUUAUUCUGGAAAUAUUAGUAUAGUAGGUGCUCCUUUAAUUCAUAUUAAUUUAUUAAUUUAGCAAGGCCACUAGUAUACAUUCUAUAGUUACCUUAUCUCACUAAGUUUCAA